rnacentral:lncRNA from 1 species
GCCAAAGACUCUGAGUUUCUGCAAACCCAAAUGUCAAAUGGAUAUUAGCAAGAAGUAACUCUUGGUACUCCCAGGCCAAUGAAAUCAGAGUGUUCAAAACAAAAGACAGCAGAGCUUCAGACCCUAGAGGAGAGGAAGACAGAAGACCCGGAAAGGGGUGGAAUCAGUGAUAGACACCAAGUCACUCAGAUCCAAAACCAAUAAGUCUUUUAUGGCUAAACCAAGGACAUGGGAGGUAUCUCCAGAGGUGCUGAGAAGAGCCACUCUUGAAGGCAGCUAAGGAAGCCCCCAGCGGAAGCAUAUGAUAAACAUUCCAGAAUUGCUUCUAUUUUUGAAGACAAAGAAAAAAUGUCCAUGGUUUCACUUUGAAGCUCUUCGGAAAGAAUUCCUGUAACACUUAGCACUCAAUAAAGAAAUUUCAAACAAAAAACAAACUCAAAUUUGGAAACUAGUGUUAACAAAUCGUUCAAUUCAUCAGCCAAACUUGUGUUUGAGGAAUGGCUUGACACAACUUCCAAUGUUUCAAUAAUGCCUGGAAGCCUCUCAAUCAUAGAUAACAAUGUACGGUCAUGGUCUAUCCAACAUGACUGUGAUGUACGUUUAUUGCAUGUUUUGUUUUGACUUAGCUUACAAAUGUCUCGAAAAUUUGCUAGCAUUCCCCCAGACAUAUAAAUAGUGUUGAACAAAGAACUGAGAGUAUGUAGAGCACCUCAGAGUUCUUUUAUUUCUUUACAAAACCUAAUUACUGCUAAAUCAAAAAAAUGUGCAUAACAAUGUACAUAUAGAGUUCUUGGCUCUUCCUUCUUGAAUUCUGCUGCAAUUUCAUUAAAUUUUACUCUCAGAUUAGUGGUACUAUCAUAAGCCUGGCCCCAAAUAUUAUUAAAGUCAAGUCCAAUUUGCUGCAGAUAAGUUUUGAUACUCCUGUGUAAGUGGGUCCCAGUCUUCUCUUCAAUAUCAACAGAACCCAAGAAUCUUUCCUUAAUUAUGACAGCUUUUGAUGUUUUUUGUGGGUAUCUUACACAAAUUGGAAGUUGUUCUUUGGUGGCAUUAGUUAUCUCAUCACAUAAAAUUGAAAAAGCUGAGGAGAGAUUGAUGUCAUUCACAAUAUCCUGCAACAUUUCCAUCUUUAUUAUUUCAAAAAUAUCAGCUUGGAUUUGUGUACUAUUAUAGAAGUCAACUUGUGAAUUCAUGAGUUGAUACAUUUCUUCUCCUUUAUCUUUUGCUCUGAUUUCUAACAAUUCUAAAAAAUUGCCUUUAUUCACAGAAGAAACAGAAUGGGCAUCUCCUCUUAAGGGUAAACACUGCUUCCCAAGAAAUAAAAUAUUUUCAACUAUAAGCUUUA